UACGUAGGGGGCUAGCGUUGUCCGGAUUUAUUGGGCGUAAAGAGCGUGUAGGCGGCCAGGUAGGUCCGCUGUGAAAGUCCGAGGCUCAACCUCGGAAUGUCGGCGGAAACCCUCUGGCUAGAGUCCGGAAGAGGAGAGUGGAAUUCCCGGUGUAGCGGUGAAAUGCGCAGAUAUCGGGAAGAACACCCGUGGCGAAGGCGGCUCUCUGGAACGGUACUGACGCUGAGACGCGAAAGCGUGGGGAGCGAACAGG
rnacentral:rRNA from 1 species